GACGAACGCUGGCGGCGUGCUUAACACAUGCAAGUCGAACGGAAAGGCCCUGCUUUUGUGGGGUGCUCGAGUGGCGAACGGGUGAGUAACACGUGAGUAACCUGCCCUUGACUUUGGGAUAACUUCAGGAAACUGGGGCUAAUACCGGAUAGGAGCUCCUGCUGCAUGGUGGGGGUUGGAAAGUUUCGGCGGUUGGGGAUGGACUCGCGGCUUAUCAGCUUGUUGGUGGGGUAGUGGCUUACCAAGGCUUUGACGGGUAGCCCGCCUGAGGGGGUGACCGGCCACCUUGGCUCCGAGAGACGGCCGCGCCUGCUACGGGAGCCAGCAGGGGGGAAUAUUGCACAAGGGACGGAGCCCGGGUGAAGCAGCGCCGCGGGGGGGAUGACGGCCUUCGGGUGGAAGACCGCUUGCGCCUGUAACGAAGCGUGUGUUGAGGGAAUGGAAAAAGAAACCCCCGCCUACCUCGGG
rnacentral:rRNA from 1 species